rnacentral:tRNA from 1 species
GAGGGUACAGCUCAGUGGUAGAGCGUGUGCUUAGCAUGCAUGAGGUCCUGGGUUCAAUCCCCAGUACCUUCA